AUUGAACGCUGGCGACAUGCCUUACACAUGCAAGUCGAACGGCAGCACGGGUGCUUGCACCUGGUGGCGAGUGGCGAACGGGUGAGUAAUACAUCGGAACAUGUCCUGUAGUGGGGGAUAGCCCGGCGAAAGCCGGAUUAAUACCGCAUACGAUCUACGGAUGAAAGCGGGGGACCUUCGGGCCUGGCGCUAUAGGGUUGGCCGAUGGCUGAUUAGCUAGUUGGUGGGGUAAAGGCCUACCAAGGCGACGAUCAGUAGCUGGUCUGAGAGGACGACCAGCCACACUGGGACUGAGACACGGCCCAGACUCCUACGGGAGGCAGCAGUGGGGAAUUUUGGACAAUGGGCGAAAGCCUGAUCCAGCAAUGCCGCGUGUGUGAAGAAGGCCUUCGGGUUGUAAAGCACUUUUGUCCGGAAAGAAAUCCUUGGCCCUAAUACGGUCGGGGGAUGACGGUACCGGAAGAAUAAGCACCGGCUAACUACGUG
rnacentral:rRNA from 1 species